rnacentral:rRNA from 1 species
UACAGAGGGUGCAAGCAUUAAUCGGAUUUAUUGGGCGUAAAGAGCGCGUAGGCGGGUCUUUUAAGUCAGAUGUGAAAUCCCCAGGCUCAACCUGGGAACAGCAUUUGAAACUGAAGAUCUUGAGGGUAGUCGGAGAAAAUGGAAUUCCACGUGUAGCGGUGAAAUGCGUAGAUAUGUGGAAGAACACCGGUGGCGAAGGCGAUUUUCUAGAUUAUACCUGACGCUGAGGCGCGAAAGCAAGGGGAUCAAACAGG